rnacentral:rRNA from 1 species
UACGUAGGGGGCAAGCGUUGUCCGGAUUUAUUGGGCGUAAAGAGCGUGUAGGCGGUUUGGUAGGUCCGCUGUGAAAACUCGAGGCUCAACCUCGAGACGCCGGUGGAAACCAUCAGACUAGAGUCCGGAAGAGGAGAGUGGAAUUCCUGGUGUAGCGGUGAAAUGCGCGGAUAUCAGGAAGAACACCCGUGGCUAAGGCGGCUCUCUAGUACGGUACUGACGCUGAGACGCGAAAGCGUUGGGAGCGAACAGG